rnacentral:rRNA from 1 species
AUUGAACGCUGGCGGCAGGCUUAACACAUGCAAGUCGAGCGGGGAAAAGUAGCUUGCUACUGGACCUAGCGGCGGACGGGUGAGUAAUGCUUAGGAAUCUGCCUAUUAGUGGGGGACAACAUCUCGCAAGGGCUGCUAAUACCUCAUACGUCCUACGGGAGAAAGCAGGGGACCUUCGGGCCUUGCGCUAAUAGAUGAGCCUAAGUCGGAUUAGCUAGUUGGUGGGGUAAAGGCCUACCAAGGCGACGAUCUGUAGCGGGUCUGAGAGGAUCAUCCGCCACACUGGGACUGAGACACGGCCCAGACUCCUACGGGAGGCAGCAGUGGGGAAUAUUGGACAAUGGGGGGAACCCUGAUCCAGCCAUGCCGCGUGUGUGAAGAAGGCCUUUUGGUUGUAAAGCACUUUAAGCGAGGAGGAGGCUACCGAGAUUAAUACUCUUGGAUAGUGGACGUUACUCGCAGAAUAAGCACCGGCUAACUCUGUGCAGCCACCGCCGUAACAC